UUUUUUCUCAAAAGUACUCUGUUGAUCUUUCAAACACAAUGCCAAGCUAUAAAGCAGCCCGUGACAAUAAUUGAACAAGCUCGGAGCGGGCAUCAUUUUGUGACAAGUAAUUAAUGCGAGGAUAACAAGACAAAGAGACCACGUCGCACCGGUUGUCUGUUGUUCCGUGCCAAUUACAGAUCACACCCGCUGAAUAUGAGAGGUAAGCCUGAG
rnacentral:misc_RNA from 1 species